rnacentral:rRNA from 1 species
AUUGAACGCUGGCGGCAGGCCUAACACAUGCAAGUCGAACGAGUGGCGGACGGGUGAGUAAUGUCUGGGAAACUGCCUGAUGGAGGGGGAUAACUACUGGAAACGGUAGCUAAUACCGCAUACCAUCGGAUGUGCCCAGAUGGGAUUAGCUAGUAGGUGGGGUAAAGGCUCACCUAGGCGACGAUCCCUAGCUGGUCUGAGAGGAUGACCAGCCACACUGGAACGGAGACACGGUCCAGACUCGUACGGGAGGCAGCAGUGGGGAAUUUUGCACAAGGGGCGCAAGCUGGAUGAAGCCAGGCCGCGUGUAUGAAGAAGGCCUUCGUUUUGUAAAGUACUUCCAGCGGGGAGGCGUUACCCGAAGAAGAAGCACCGGCUAACUCCGUGCCAGCAGCCGCGGUAAUAC